AGUAGGAAUAUUCUGAACAGGCUACUAAAGACACCAGGAACGUUGGGAACCUGGGGGAAAUGAGGACCAAGAGAAUCAUAAAAAUAUUGGUGGCAAGAAAUGAAUCCAUGUGAAGAAUUCGUAAUCAACUUCAAACCUAACAAGCUGCAAAAUUUAGUGGGGGGAAGGGGCGUCAGGAAUUUGUGAAGCCCCCACCUGCCCCCAUGGCUACGCCACUGCCAGGACACCAACUCUGGAAUGCUGGAAUUCAUUUCAAGGUACAAGACUCUCGACAAAUGAUACUUGUGUGGCACCUCAAUGAGCCAAUUCUGUAUUUCAAAAGGGCAAAGUCGAUGACCGGGCAGGCUUGGGAAAGGGACAGAUCUAGAAAGAGAGGUGCAAACUUGGAGGGUCAAAUGACAGUGGACAGUGGGAAGCCCUCAAUCAGGACAUAACCCACUGGAGUCACUUUAAAAUUCACUUCAGUUAGGAGGCGGGGUACCCCCUUCUUAAUCUGCCACCGCAGAUAUAAAAGACCCAUGUCUGGCAGUUGCUGGAGGGAGGAGGUGUCAAGGAAAGCUGUAACAAAACAUUCUG